AGCCACUGUUAUGCAAAGUUCAAGGGCCUCUCUCACACUUAGCUGGGGGAGGAGUGAAUACAGCCUUUCUGAAGAAAGAAAAAUUAAGUAAUAGCAAAAUCAUUAAGUGUUUAUGAUUCAUAAAUACAGUUUUUGUCAACUAAAAAAAUAAAAUAUGUAGAAGUCAAAAAAGUGUCUAUGAUUCAGAAAUGCCACCGUUAGAAGUUGCCAUAAGAGUGCACACAAAAAGGACAUAUGGGUCAAAGUGUUUGCAGCAGUGUUGUCCCAAAUAAGGACAUUUUGCAACAUUGUGGGGUGGUUAAAAUAACUAUAGAAUAUGCAUUAGAAUACAAUGAAACCAUUAAACAUAAUGUGGAAGAAUAUUGUAUAUUAUAGGGAAAUGCUCAUAAUAUAUAGUGACAAUUUAAAAAGCAGAUUACAAAACAAUAUGCCAAGACAUGAUUUCUGCCCAAGUCUGCCCUGAUGGGUGAGCUAACCAAGGUUGCUGCACUGUGAGGGCAUAGGGGCUGCCCCUCAGCCCCCACCCCAGCCACUGGGCUCCUCAGGAAAGGACACGUGAGUGUUUACUGCACAUCCUACAGAUGAGGAGCUCACAAGGACCCUGGAUGGGGGAGUCCUCUGAGGUUGCUGGAGCUGCUGCAGCCAUCUUGUCACUGCCAGGGGAGAGCUCUCUCUGAGAGCGAAGGCACAGUGGAGGAAAGCAGAACUAAGAAGAGACAGAGAAAGCGAAAGUGGGAGAGAGAGAGAGAUAUGAGGUGACAAGUGUGGGUCCUUGGAUCCUGCUUGGUGUAAAGCUAGCCUGCUCCUGGACUUUACAGAUAAUAAAUUCCUUCCUCAUCAGAUUAACCUGGGUUUUUGUGGCUUGUAACCAAAAGGGUCUGCACGGCCCACACACAGGCUCCCAGCUCAUUUCCUUUGCAAUGAGUGGUAACUGGAGGCGGGCGGUGCAUGGACCUGCCUUGCAAGGCUUCUCUGUUAGUGGUGCCUGGAGCCCACUCUCUCAGCUGGCACAGCCAGUGUGACACAUCAGUCCGGGUGUGUCCUGGACCUACCCCCUUUCUGGGUGCAAACCAGAACUGAGGAUGCCGAGGGUGGUGGGGGGGUAGUUUCCUGCCUCAGGGCUGUGCUCCUGCUACCUCUUUGCCUAAAAUUCUCCCCUCUCUGUGCUCCCAGGGCCAGCUCCUUUGUAUGCUCUGUGAUUCUUUGAACAGCGCCCCCUCUGAGAAGCCUUCCCUGACCACCUGGCUGAGGACAUCAUUCUGUCCCAGCUUCCAUUUGCUUUGGGAGUGGCCUCCUGACACUUCACUUCCGUGAGGCAGGGACCAGUUCUGUCCUGGUCACUGCUGUAUCCCCAGCUCUAGAUAAGGCCUGAGACAUCGUAGGAGUGCCAGGGAUCUUUGGUUACUGAGAAAACGAGCAGCUAGAUCAAGGUUCCCAACACCAACACGCUGGGGACAUGUUGGGAGUCAACUUAGCCCUACCAGCAGGUGGAACUAGUUUUGCUGCUCCAAAACAGAGUUCUAGCUAUGGGGACAGCCACUAGAGAGCAGAGCUAAGUCCAUGCUAUGCUGAGGGGCCACAGUCUGCCCUGAACUGUGCCUCCCAGCCUGGAGCUAGUGAGGGGGCCGAGCCUGGGAGCUGACAGAUGAGGGCUCGGCGUGGGGACUUUUGGAGGGGAGGGCAUUUUCUUGAUCUUACCAUGGGGGCAACAGCUAGAUGGGUAGGGGGGGACCCACUCAAGGACAUACUGCGGCUUCAGGCUUCGACCAGCCCAGAACGCUCGCUCCAUCUGAGGGUCUUGAUAUCAGGGUGUGGCGUCAGGAGCCGGAGCCUACGGGUUGAAAGCCAAGAGUGGGCAAUCAAAGCUGAAACCAGGCCCACGACUUAGGAGCUGGAGAGCACACAGGGCUGAACACUCGAGUUGGUGACCAGGAAACCAGGGAGCAAAGUCUCCAGGGUGCUUGGGCAAGACCCCAGAUGGUCUGCAGCAACGCACGGGCAACACGGGAUGAUCAGCGCUACGUGGUGAGAAACUUACCUCCUUUUGCAGGACAACAUUUUCCAGUCCUUCUGAGUAAAUCAAAGAGAAGUCUCAGCUUGGUGAUUGCAGGUCUCUAAUGCUUAUUUCUCUGUCUCUGUCUCUCUCUCUUUUAACAAAAGUCUACCAGCGGCCUCAGGCUCAGGGCCUGUCUCAGGUAAAAGCGGGUUAGGGUGUAAUAACAGUGAUCGGUUUCAUUGUGUUUAUUUUUGUAGCUACUUUCUAAUUAUAGCAAGUGAUUCUGAGUUUCCAUUUAGGAUAGUAAUAGGAAGUUUCUUUUUCAAGUAAAUGUGCAUAAGUAAAAGGAGACUGCUCAAAGGAAAACAGCUGGUGAUUGAUAGAACAGGCUGUGGCAUUGUUGGGCCCCAGAGGGAAGGGCUGUGUGAGCAUGCAGGAAAUUCUGGGAAGGCAGCUAAAUGCAGUUGCUGCAUGGGGGCCAGGAAGCAUUUGGAGACGUGGCUGGGCACAGCUUGGCUUUUGAGCCCAAGAGAGGCCUGCUGGGGAUGUGUUGGGAGCCAACCUACCCCUACCAGCAGGUGGAACUGGUUUUGCCACUCCAAAACAGAGUUCCAGCUAUGGGGACAGCCACUAGAGAGCAGAGCUAAGGGCAUUCUAGGCCAAGGGGUCACAGUCCACCCUGAACUGUGCCUCCCAGCCUGAAGCCAGAAAGCUCAGGGAGGCUAGCGGCCCUGCCCAGGCCUCAGCACUGACCCUGCACCCCUAGGCCCAGCUGGAUGACCCCUAAGAGCUUCCUGGAAUUUGGAUGCAGGGUUAUUCUGUGUGUGCUGCCUCUCAGAGCAUGUCACUUUGACGUGGACAUCUCGGGUCUGGUUCUGGUGCUGUCCCUGUCUCGCCACGUGACCCUGGAUAAGUCAUCUCUCCAGGCCUUGAUUUCCCCAUCUGUAAACAGAGGUGAGUGAAAUGAUCUUUAAAGGCGUGUCAGUCCAUUUUGCAUUGCUAUAAAGGAAUACCUGAGGUUGGGUAGCUUAUAAAGAAAAGAGGGUUAUUUGGCUCACAGUUGUGCAGGUUGUACAGAAGCAUGGCACCAGCAUUGCUUCUUGUGAAGCUUCAGGAAGCUUCCACUUAUGGUGGAAGGGGAAGGGGGAGUUCGUGACUUACAUGGCAAGAGAGGGAGCAAGAGCCAUGUCAGGCUCUUCUAAACAACCAGCUCUCAUGUAAACUAACAGAGUGAGAACUCAUUCAUUACCACGGGGAGGGCACCAAGCCAUCCAUGAGGGACCUGCCCCCAUGAGCCAAACAUCUCCCACCAGGCCACACCUUCAACACUGGGAGUCACAUUCAGCAUGAGAUUUGGAGGUGACCACCAUGCAUCCAAACCAUAUCAAGGACCCAUUUCGGUGAGGGGACCAGGAACAUAUCCCUUCCCCUCUCCUCCACAUCCUUUAAUGUGGAGUUCAGCAAGGAAAGUAGGGCUUGGGUCAAAUUAAAGCCUGGUCUUAAUUUCCUGGUCCAGUUAUUAGCUGUGUAACCCUGGGCAAGUCACUUAACCCCCUCAGGUUACAAUGUUACAAAUGAUCACAUUUUCCUCAACUGAAAAAUGGGAUAGGAACAUGUCCCAAGCAGAGCUGGAGUGACGGUGCUAUCAAUGGCCCGGCAGUGCCUGGUCACACAGUAGGCCUGGGGAGCCCUGACUUUUACCGCACAGGGAGCUGCUUGCAGAGCUUGUUUUCAAUUGUGGGCUUGGCAGGGAACUGCCGGCAUCCCAGGGGACAGGGUCUCAUGAGGAUGCCUAAUCCCAGCUCAAAGUGGAGACCCCAGGACUCCAUCACAGCCAGUGGGGGGGAGUGGCUGCUGCAGCAGGGAGGGCUUCAUUGGAAUGAACCCCUUUAAGCUCCAGUCCAAAUGCCCAGAGUGGUUUUGCAGGUAUGGUUGUGAGGCUGGCAUGGUAGUCCCAUCUGCAGUCCCCUGGGAUGAGGCACCUGUAUGGUAGAGGGCCCGGGUGGAGAGAAGAGAAGGAUGGGGAUGAACCCAGGACCACAGAUGGCCCAGUUCCAUGGAUGAUUUUCAUUGAGGUGCCUUCAAGUCAGUUCAACACUGGGCUUCUCAACCUUUGAGGUAUGCAGGUAAGAGUCACCUGCGGCAGUGGGGGAUGCUCUUGUUAAAGUGCAGACUCCGAUUAAGCAGGUCUAGGGUGGGGCCUGAAAUUCUGUGUUCCUAACAAGGCUCCAUCCUGGGUAUGGAGGUCAGGUACCCCCUCACCUCUCCUGUGGACCCAGCUUUUGAGGGGUCAGGAGAAGAAUGUUCAGUCCCAGCUGCCACCACUCUAAAGUCCCCUAGAAACAAGGACUAAUACAGGUGGCGUGGGAGAGGGCCCAGGCAAACAGGGAGGUGGGGUACCCCGGUGGGGCUGCAGUGGGCCCUGCGGAAAGCUUGCUGGAGGUGGGGGCCUAAGGAAUUCAAGGACUUGUUCCAGGAACCCAAGGAACGAGUGGGCUCUAACUGCUGCAGCAUAUGGGAGAUGCCAGGAGGAGCUGGCUGUGGCAGGCCAUCCCAGUCCAUCAGACAACUUGUAGUGGAUGAAGAUGCAGUGUCCAUGGCCAGAAGAAACUCCCGUGGAUGCUCAGGCCAAGGCUGCCAGAAGCACGAGGAGGGGCAGCAUUGAGUGUCAUCGGGAAAAGGCAAAGUGAUGGUCCUGAAGCUGCCCCAUGUGGCCAGUCCCUUUUUGGGAAGCCUGAAUAAAUCCAUUUCCUGUGCACUGUGUGGGAAGCCAACCCCUCUUCAGAGCACCUCUGAACUCAACAGGAUCCUACACUUCUUAUAGGCCUGGCUUGAUGCUGACAUCCUUCAGCCCCAGGGAAGACCUAAAGAUCUCCAGGUCUUGAGGCACCUGGAACACCUCCACCUGAGACCACUUUAACAUGAUUUCUCUGCUUGAGGGAUUUUGGACCAUGCUGUGUGUAUUCAGCCCUAAAACAUGGGCGAGUGCCCGCUUGCAGUUCAAAUUCUCAGAGGAAGUUCCCUGUACUCCACCCAGUGCCAAGUUUAGUUUGUGCAAAUUUCCUUAAUGUCCCCUCCUGUACAACAGGCUUAUUUGGUGUUAACCCUCAUAUCGGGGGUCUAACUCUUUGCUUUUCCAGCUUUUGUGCUGGAAUAUCCCAUUAAACUGUCCAUGUUGGGUAUUUUUUCUUUGUUAGUAAACAUUUGUUGCAUAUUGU
rnacentral:lncRNA from 1 species